UGGGGAAUAUUGCACAAUGGAGGGAACUCUGAUGCAGCGACGCCGCGUGAACGAAGAAGGCUUUCGAGUCGUAAAGUUCUUUUAUAUGGGAAGAUAAUGACGGUACCAUAAGAAAAAGCCCCGGCUAACUACGUGCCAGCAGCCGCGGUAAUACGUAGGGGGCUAGCGUUGUCCGGAAUCACUGGGCGUAAAGGGUUCGCAGGCGGAAUAACAAGUCAGAUGUGAAAGGCAUGGGCUCAACCCAUGUAAGCAUUUGAAACUGUAAUUCUUGAGAAGUGGAGAGGUAAGGGGAAUUCCUAGUGUAGCGGUGAAAUGCGUAGAUAUUAGGAGGAAUACCUGUGGCGAAGGCGACUUACUGGACACAAAUCUGACGCUGAGGAACGAAAGCGUGGGUAGCAAACAGG
rnacentral:rRNA from 1 species